rnacentral:lncRNA from 1 species
GCUCUCAAGAGAAAAAAAAAAAGGAAAAAAAAAAUUAUAUAAAAGCAGCGGCUCGGCCCCUCCCCCGCCCUAAAGUGAGAGAAAAAAACGUUUAAAAAAGGAAGAAAAAAAAAAGAAAAAAAUCCAAAAAAAAAAAAAAGGAAUAAAAAAAGUGCACUCUUGUUAAGGGCCGUCCCGCUCGUUUGUGGGGGUGUGGGCGCCGCCAUCUUGGGUGCGGUGUGUCGCAGCGCGAUGACGUCACUACCGCGAUGCCGUCAAGUGGAUUUGGCGGGAGGCGGAGUUUGUGGGUGUCGCGCCGGAAGUGACGAAGCAAUGAGGCGGAAGUGAGCAGAGCGGCGUGGGCGCAGCCAUGACCCGGUCCCGGCGACGGCGGGAGGCGGCCCGCGGGAGGCGGCUGCAGGGCAAAGCCGCGAAGGCAGCGGGGAAGAAGGACCCGGGGGUGCUGCAGCUGGGCCGCUUCGCCGCCCACGUGGAGCAGCAGAACGAGAAGAGGCGGAAGAGGGCGGCUGAGGCGCAGCAGCGGAGGGACGCGGCGCGGGAGGUGGUGGUGGGGCAGCGGCGCAGCCUGGGGGGGCUGCAGGAGGAUGCUCUGCGGCGGCAGCGGGAUUUUGAGCAAAAAGUGAGUUUGGGGGUUGU